UACGAAGGGGGCUAGCGUUGCUCGGAAUCACUGGGCGUAAAGCGCACGUAGGCGGAUCUUUAAGUCAGGGGUGAAAUCCCGGGGCUCAACCUCGGAACUGCCUUUGAUACUGCAAGUCUCGAGUCCGAUAGAGGUGAGUGGAAUUCCUAGUGUAGAGGUGAAAUUCGUAGAUAUUAGGAAGAACACCAGUGGCGAAGGCGGCUCACUGGAUCGGUACUGACGCUGAGGUGCGAAAGCGUGGGGAGCAAACAGG
rnacentral:rRNA from 1 species